AUUGAACGCUGGCGGCGUGCUUUACACAUGCAAGUCGAACGCGAAAGGGGGGCAACCCCUGAGUAGAGUGGCGAACGGGUGAGUAACACAUCGGAACGUGCCCAGUCGUGGGGGACAACCAGUCGAAAGAUUGGCUAAUACCGCAUACGCUGGAGACAGGAAAGCGGGGGACUCGGGAAACCGGGCCUCGCGCGAUUGGAGCGGCCGAUGUCCGAUUAGCUAGUUGGUGGGGUAAGAGCCCACCAAGGCGACGAUCGGUAGCUGGUCUGAGAGGAUGAUCAGCCACACUGGGACUGAGACACGGCCCAGACUCCUACGGGAGGCAGCAGUGGGGAAUUUUGGACAAUGGGCGCAAGCCUGAUCCAGCCAUGCCGCGUGCGGGAAGAAGGCCU
rnacentral:rRNA from 1 species